rnacentral:rRNA from 1 species
AGGGUUUGAUCAUGGCUCAGAUUGAACGCUGGCGGCAGGCCUAACACAUGCAAGUCGAGCGGUAACAGAAAGUAGCUUGCUACUUUGCUGACGAGCGGCGGACGGGUGAGUAAUGCUUGGGAAUAUGCCUUUUGGUGGGGGACAACAGUUGGAAACGACUGCUAAUACCGCAUGAUGUCUACGGACCAAAGUGGGGGACCUUCGGGCCUCACGCCAAAAGAUUAGCCCAAGUGGGAUUAGCUAGUUGGUAAGGUAAUGGCUUACCAAGGCAACGAUCCCUAGCUGGUUUGAGAGGAUGAUCAGCCACACUGGGACUGAGACACGGCCCAGACUCCUACGGGAGGCAGCAGUGGGGAAUAUUGCACAAUGGGCGCAAGCCUGAUGCAGCCAUGCCGCGUGUGUGAAGAAGGCCUUCGGGUUGUAAAGCACUUUCAGUAAGGAGGAAAGGUUAAGUUUUAAUAGAGCUUAGCUGUGACGUUACUUACAGAAGAAGCACCGGCUAACUCCGUGCCAGCCGCCGCGGUAAUAC